rnacentral:rRNA from 1 species
AAUGGGGGAUAACGUAGCGAAAGUUACGCUAAUACCGCAUAUGCCCUGAGGGGGAAAGUGGGGGAUCGCAAGACCUCACGUUUUCGGAGCGGCCGAUAUCAGAUUAGCUAGUUGGUGGGGUAAAGGCCUACCAAGACGGCGAUCUGUAGCUGGUCUGAGAGGACGACCAGCCACACUGGGACUGAGACACGGCCCAGACUCCUACGGGAGGCAGCAGUGGGGAAUUUUGGACAAUGGGGGCAACCCUGAUCCAGCCAUGCCGCGUGAGUGAAGAAGGCCUUCGGGUUGUAAAGCUCUUUCGGACGGAAAGAAAUCCUAUCCGCUAAUACCGGGUGGGGAUGACGGUACCGUAAGAAGAAGCACCGGCUAACUACGUGCCAGCAGCCGCGGUAAUACGUAGGGUGCGAGCGUUAAUCGGAAUUACUGGGCGUAAAGCGUGCGCAGGCGGUUUAUUAAGACAGAUGUGAAAUCCCCGGGCUUAACCUGGGAACUGCAUUUGUGACUGGUAGGCUAGAGUGUGGCAGAGGGGGGUAGAAUUCCA